GAUCCUGGCUCAGGAUGAACGCUAGCUACAGGCUUAACACAUGCAAGUCGAGGGGCAGCGGGAAGUCAGCUUGCUGACUUUGCCGGCGACCGGCGCACGGGUGAGUAACACGUAUCCAACCUCCCGCAUACUCGGGAAUAGCCUUUCGAAAGAAAGAUUAAUGCCCGAUGGUUUCAAGGGAUUGCAUGGUAUCUUGAAUAAAGAUUCAUCGGUAUGCGAUGGGGAUGCGCU
rnacentral:rRNA from 1 species